rnacentral:rRNA from 1 species
UAGCUAGUUGGUGAGGUAAAGGCUUACCAAGGCGACGAUCUGUAGCGGGUCUGGGAGGAUGAUCCGCCACACUGGAACUGAGACACGGUCCAGACUCCUACGGGAGGCAGCAGUGGGGAAUUUUGGACAAUGGGGGCAACCCUGAUCCAGCCAUGCCGCGUGAGUGAAGAAGGCCUUCGGGUUGUAAAGCUCUUUCGGCCGGGAAGAAAUCGCAUGGGCCAAUACCCUGUGUGGAUGACGGUACCGGAAUAAGAAGCACCGGCUAACUACGUGCCAGCAGCCGCGGUAAUACGUAGGGUGCGAGCGUUAAUCGGAAUUACUGGGCGUAAAGCGUGCGCAGGCGGUUUUGUAAGACAGGCGUGAAAUCCCCGGGCUUAACCUGGGAACUGCGUUUGUGACUGCAAGGCUAGAGUACGGCAGAGGGGGGUGGAAUUCCACGUUUAGCAGUGAAAUGCGUAGAGAUGUGGAGGAACACCAAUGGCGAAGGCAGCCCCCUGGGUCGAUACUGACGCUCAUGCACGAAAGCGUGGGUAGCAAACAGGAUUAGAUACCCUGGUAGUCCACGCCCUAAACUAUGUCAACUAGGUGUUGGGUGGGUAAAACCAUUUAGUACCGUAGCUAACGCGUGAAGUUGACCGCCUGGGGAGUACGGCCGCAAGGUUAAAACUCAAAGGAAUUGACGGGGACCCGCACAAGCGGUGGAUGAUGUGGAUUAAUUCGAUGCAACGCGAAAAACCUUACCUACCCUUGACAUGCCAGGAACUUGCCAGAGAUGGCUUGGUGCCCGAAAGGGAGCCUGGACACAGGUGCUGCAUGGCUGUCGUCAGCUCGUGUCGUGAGAUGUUGGGUUAAGUCCCGCAACGAGCGCAACCCUUGUCGUUAAUUGCCAUCAUUUGGUUGGGCACUUUAACGAGACUGCCGGUGACAAACCGGAGGAAGGUGGGGAUGACGUCAAGUCCUCAUGGCCCUUAUGGGUAGGGCUUCACACGUCAUACAAUGGUCGGUACAAAGGGUUGCCAAGCCGCGAGGCGGAGCCAAUCCCAGAAAGCCGAUCGUAGUCCGGAUUGCAGGCUGCAACUCGCCUGCAUGAAGUCGGAAUCGCUAGUAAUCGUGGAUCAGCAUGUCACGGUGAAUACGUUCCCGGGUCUUGUACACACCGCCCGUCACACCAUGGGAGCGGGUUCCGCCAGAAGUAGGUAGCCUAACCGCAAGGGGGGCGCUUACCACGGCGGGGUUCGUGACUGGGGUGAAGUCGGAACAAGGUAGCCGUAGGAACCUGCGGCUG